UGACUAUAUGCUGGCUUCGUCAAUCCCC
rnacentral:piRNA from 1 species